UAAACGUAACUGUAUAGUGAACUGAAAGUUUUGUCAAUACGGGACAAUUCAAUAGGUUUCGAUAAAAUUGAAAGUUAAUUCGAAAACUUUUUAUGAGUUUGCGUUAAAAUAGAAAUGAAGUUUUUCUUAGCGUAUUUCGUACUCUUUGACUAGUUUCGUAUUCUGUCAUUUUUAUAUUACUAUUAAAUAAAAUUGCAUGUCGUCGCAAUUAAUGUACAUAUAAUGUUACGUCGUCGUCUAGUCUUGUAAUCGGGUCUUAGUCUUGUCUUGAAGAAAAACAAUUAAGUGUCGCAAAGAUUGCGCAUCGCUGAACAAGCCACAAGAAUCACAAAUUCCAUUGAAUUCCAUGCCGGAGGCGUAUAAGCUUUGGUCAAGUGCAUUCCUCAAAAUUACUUUCUUUGCUUUUCGGACGUAUACAAUGAAAUUUUUUACAUGGGAUGGUGCCCAAGAAAAAGUCAGGACUUAAAUUACUAAACCUUUCUUCAUAAUUAAAAGCGCAAAUUAUAACAAUUACCUUACAUUUGAAGAUAAUAACACAUAAACAUCAGUUUGGCUAUCUAGUUUUCCACACAUACAUCAAUUGUAACAUAAUAUUCUCGUUUCCGAUAAUAACAAUAUGUUGAUAUAGCUUAUACCUUUAUAGGUAACACAUGUCACUUAGGGCCUGUUUCACAAUGUAUGGAUAAAGUGUCAAAUA